rnacentral:rRNA from 1 species
CAGUCGCCGCGGUAAUACGAAGGGUGCAAGCGUUACUCGGAAUUACUGGGCGUGAAGCGUGCGUAGGUGGUGGUUUAAGUCCGUUGUGAAAGCCCUGGGCUCAACCUGGGAAUUGCAGUGGAUACUGGAUCACUAGAGUGUGGUAGAGGAUAGUGGAAUUUCCGGUGUAGCAGUGAAAUGCGUAGAGAUCGGAAGGAACAUCUGUGGCGAAGGCGACUAUCUGGGCCAACACUGACACUGAGGCACGAAAGCGUGGGGAGCAAACAGGAUUAGAGACCCCCGUAGUCCCUGUCUCUUAUAC